UACAGAGGGUGCGAGCGUUAAUCGGAAUUACUGGGCGUAAAGCGUGCGUAGACGGCUAUCUAAGUCGGGUGUGAAAGCCCCGGGCUCAACCUGGGAAUUGCAUUCGAGACUGAAUAGCUAGGGUACGGUAGAGGGAAGCGGAAUUUCCGGUGUAGCGGUGAAAUGCGUAGAUAUCGGAAGGAACAUCAGUGGCGAAAGCGGCUUCCUGGACCAGUACCGACGUUCAGGCACGAAAGCGUGGGGAGCAACAGG
rnacentral:rRNA from 1 species